UGCAUGCUUGUCGAAAAGUCUCUGCCGCUUAAGGAUGCAUCCCGCCCUCUAUUCUCUCUGUGAUCUAUAUAUAUCUAGUCACUGCAUGCUGCAGAUGUGUUUUACUGUAGGUGAGCAUGAAAUCUAUUUCGUUUAUUUUCGGUCUUUCUGUCUUCUCAAUUCCUUAUCGCUGAGUACAUCAACAGCUGCUCUGUGACAAUCUACAGUGUUUCAUUGUUGUAGGGUAGUUCUGUAGUGCACAAGGGGCUUUUAAUCCAGUAGUGGGCUAGCUCAUCACAUGUUUUUCCUUGUUGUGGUGAACAGUUUCCCACAUCCUUCUUCUUAGGUA
rnacentral:sRNA from 1 species